CCUACGGGUGGCAGCAGUAGGGAAUCUUCCACAAUGGGCGAAAGCCUGAUGGAGCAACGCCGCGUGGGUGAAGAAGGUCUUCGAAUCGUAAAACCCUGUUGUUAGAGAAGAAAGUGCGUGAGAGUAACUGUUCACGUUUCGACGGUAUCUAACCAGAAAGCCACGGCUAACUACGUGCCAGCAGCCGCGGUAAUACGUAGGUGGCAAGCGUUAUCCGGAUUUAUUGGGCGUAAAGGGAACGCAGGCGGUCUUUUAAGUCUGAUGUGAAAGCCUUCGGCUUAACCGGAGUAGUGCAUUGGAAACUGGGAGACUUGAGUGCGGAAGAGGAGAGUGGAACUCCAUGUGUAGCGGUGAAAUGCGUAGAUAUCAGGAGGAACACCGGCGGCGAAGGCGGCCUGCUGGACUGAAACUGACGUUGAGGCUCGAAAGCGUGGGGAGCAAACAGGAUUAGAUACCCGGGUAGUC
rnacentral:rRNA from 1 species